rnacentral:tRNA from 1 species
GGGCCCUUAGCUCAGCUGGUAGAGCGCCUCAUUUGCAAUGAGGAGGUCAGCAGUUCGAACCUGCUAGGGUCCA